UUGGAUUCGCUAGUAAUCGCGCAUCAGCCAUGGCGCGGUGAAUACGUUCCCGGGCCUUGUACACACCGCCCGUCAAGCCAUGGGAGCCGGGGGUGCUUGAAGUGCGUCGCCGCAAGGCGCGCCCUAGAGCAAAACCGGUGACUGGGGCUAAGUCGUAACAAGGUAAC
rnacentral:rRNA from 1 species